AGUGAACGCUGGCGGUAGGCCUAACACAUGCAAGUCGAACGGCAGCACAGUAAGAGCUUGCUCUUACGGGUGGAGAGUGGCGGACGGGUGAGGAAUACAUCGGAAUCUACUUUUUCGUGGGGGAUAACGUAGGGAAACUUACGCUAAUACCGCAUACGACCUACGGGUGAAAGCAGGGGAUCUUCGGACCUUGCGCGAUUGAAUGAGCCGGUGUCGGGUUAGCUAGUUGGCGGGGUAAAGGCCCACUAAGGCGGCGAUCCGUAGCUGGUCUGAGAGGAUGAUCAGGCACACUGGAACUGAGACACGGUACAGACUCCUACGGGAGGCAGCAGUGGGGAAUAUUGGACAAUGGGCGCAAGCCUGAUCCAGCCAUACCGCGUGGGUGAAGAAGGCCUUCGGGUUGGAAAGCCCUUUUGUUGGGAAAGAAAAGCAGCAGGUUAAUACCCCGCUGUUCUGACGGUACCCAAAGAAUAAGCACCGGCUAACUUCGUG
rnacentral:rRNA from 1 species